rnacentral:rRNA from 1 species
CCUACGGGUGGCAGCAGUGGGGAAUAUUGCACAAUGGGGGAAACCCUGAUGCAGCGACGCCGCGUGAGUGAAGAAGUAUUUCGGUAUGUAAAGCUCUAUCAGCAGGGAAGAAAAUGACGGUACCUGAUUAAGAAGCCCCGGCUAACUACGUGCCAGCAGCCGCGGUAAUACGUAGGGGGCAAGCGUUAUCCGGAUUUACUGGGUGGAAAGGGAGCGUAGACGGCAGGACAAGUCUGGAGUGAAAUGCCGGGGCUUAACCCAGGGACUGCUUUGGAAACUGGCCAGCUAGAGUGCAGGAGAGGUGAGUGGAAUUCCUAGUGUAGCGGUGAAAUGCGUAGAUAUCAGGAGGAACACCAGUGGCGAAGGCGGCUUACUGGACUGUAACUGACGCUGAGGCUCGAAAGCGUGGGGAGCAAACAGGAUUAGAUACCCGAGUAGUC